rnacentral:rRNA from 1 species
UACGUAGGGUGCAAGCGUUGUCCGGAAUUAUUGGGCGUAAAGGGCUCGUAGGCGGUUUGUCGCGUCGGGAGUGAAAACUCAGGGCUUAACCCUGAGCCUGCUUCCGAUACGGGCAGACUAGAGGUAUGCAGGGGAGAAUGGAAUUCCUGGUGUAGCGGUGAAAUGCGCAGAUAUCAGGAGGAACACCGGUGGCGAAGGCGGCUUCCUGGACCGACACUGACGCUGAGGCGCGAAAGCUAGGGGAGCAAACGGG